AUUGAACGCUGGCGGCAUGCCUUACACAUGCAAGUCGAACGGCAGCGAGAGAGAAGCUUGCUUCUCUUGUCGGCGAGUGGCGAACGGGUGAGUAACACAUCGGAACGUACCCAGUCGUGGGGGAUAACGCAGCGAAAGUUGUGCUAAUACCGCAUACGACCUGAGGGUGAAAGCGGGGGACCGUAAGGCCUCGCGCGAUUGGAGCGGCCGAUGUCUGAUUAGCUAGUUGGUGGGGUAAAGGCCCACCAAGGCGACGAUCAGUAGCGGGUCUGAGAGGAUGAUCCGCCACACUGGGACUGAGACACGGCCCAGACUCCUACGGGAGGCAGCAGUGGGGAAUUUUGGACAAUGGGGGCAACCCUGAUCCAGCCAUGCCGCGUGCGGGAAGAAGGCCU
rnacentral:rRNA from 1 species